rnacentral:rRNA from 1 species
CACGUAGGGGGCAAGCGUUGUCCGGAUUCAUUGGGCGUAAAGAGCUCGUAGGCGGCUCAGCAAGUCGGGUGUGAAACCUCCAGGCUCAACCUGGAGACGCCACUCGAUACUGCUGUGGCUAGAGUCCAGUAGGGGAGCGUGGAAUUCCUGGUGUAGCGGUGAAAUGCGCAGAUAUCAGGAGGAACACCAGCGGCGAAGGCGGCGCUCUGGGCUGGAACUGACGCUGAGGAGCGAAAGCGUGGGGAGCAAACAGG